rnacentral:rRNA from 1 species
AUUGAACGCUGGCGGCAGGCCUAACACAUGCAAGUCGAGCGGACGAAGGGGGCUUGCGCCUCGCUUCAGCGGCGGACGGGUGAGUAAUUACCAGGAGUCUGCCUGGUCGAGAGGGCUAGCGUCCGGUAAGGGACGCUAAUACCACAUACGUCCAGAUGUAGAAAGGCGGGGAUCUUCGGACAUCACGCUAUUAGAUGAGCCUAGGUCGGAUUAGCUAGUUGGUGGGGUAACGGCCUACCAAGGCGACGAUCCGUAACUGGGCUGAGAGGAUGAUCAGUCACACUGGAACUGAGACACGGUCCAGACUCCUACGGGAGGCAGCAGUAGGGAAUCUUCGGCAAUGGGCGAAAGCCUGAUCCAGCCACGCCGCGUGUGUGAAGAAGGUCUUCGGAUUGUAAAGCUCUUUUAGUUGGGAGGAACGACAGUAUGUUUAUCUCUUCCUGUCUUGACGUUACCUACACAGUAAGCCCCGGCUAACUACGUG